rnacentral:rRNA from 1 species
GACGAACGCUGGCGGCGUGCUUAACACAUGCAAGUCGAACGGAAAGGCACUGCUUUUGUGGGGUGCUCGAGUGGCGAACGGGUGAGUAACACGUGAGUAACCUGCCCUAGACUUUGGGAUAACUUAAGGAAACUGGGGCUAAUACCGGAUAGGAGCUCCUGCAGCAUGGUGGGGGUUGGAAAGUUUAGGCGGUUGGGGAUGGACGCGCGGCUGAUCAGCUUGUUGGUGGGGUAGUGGCUUACCAAGGCAUUGACGGGUAGGCGGCAUGAGAGGGUGACCGGGCACAUUGGGACUGAGAUACGGCGCAGACGCCUACGGGAGGCAGCAGUGGGGAAUAUUGCACAAUGGGCGGAAGCCUGAUGCAGCAACGCCGCGUGCGGGAUGACGGCCUUUGGGUUGUAAACCGCUUUCGCCUGUGACGAAGCGUGAGUGACGGUAAUGGGUAAAGAAGCACCGGCUAACUACGUG